GAUGAACGCUGGCGGCGUGCCUAAUACAUGCAAGUCGAGCGAACAGACGAGGAGCUUGCUCCUUUGACGUUAGCGGCUGACGGGUGAGUAACACGUGUAUAACCUACCUAUAAUACUGGGAUAACUUCGGGAAACCGUAUCUAAUACCGGAUAACAUUUUGAACCUCAUGUUUCAUCAGUGAAAGACGUUCUUUCUGUCACUUUUACAUUGUUCCGCGCCGCAUUAGCUAGUUGGUAAGGUAACGGCUUACCAAGGCAACGAUGCGUAGCCGACCUGAGAGGGUGAGCGGCCACACUGGAAGUGAGACACGGUCCAGAGUCCUACGGGAGGAAGCAGUAGGGAAUAUUCCGCAAUGGGCGAAAGCAUGACGGAGCAACGCCGCGUGAGUGAAGAAGGGCUUCGGAUCGUAAAACUCUGUUAUUAGGGAAGAACAAAUGUGUAAGUAACUAUGCACGUAUUGACGGUACCUAAUCAGAAAGCAACGGCUAACUACGUG
rnacentral:rRNA from 1 species